GUGGGGAAUAUUGGGCAAUGGGGGAAACCCUGACCCAGCGACGCCGCGUGAGGGAAGAAGGCCUUAGGGUCGUAAACCUCUGUUGUGUGGGAAGAAGAGCGUGACGGUACCACACGAGGAAGUCCCGGCUAACUACGUGCCAGCAGCCGCGGUAAUACGUAGGGGACGAGCGUUGUCCGGAUUUACUGGGCGUAAAGGGCGCGUAGGCGGUCAUUUAAGUCAGCUGUGAAAUGGUUUGGCUUAACCGGAUCAUGCGGUUGAAACUGGAUGACUGGAGUGCUGGAGAGGCAAGGGGAAUUCCCAGUGUAGCGGUGAAAUGCGUAGAUAUUGGGAAGAACACCGGUGGCGAAGGCGACUUGCUGGCCAGCAACUGACGCUGAGGCGCGAAAGCCAGGGGAGCAAACGGGAUUAGAUACCCGGGUAGUCC
rnacentral:rRNA from 1 species